GGAGGGUUGGCAGAGCGGUUAAAUGCGCGAGUUUCGAAAACUCGUGGGAGCAAUCCCACACAGGUUCAAAUCCUGUACCCUCCG
rnacentral:tRNA from 1 species